rnacentral:misc_RNA from 1 species
GUGAAUCAUCAAAUUUUUGAACGCAAAUUGCGCUCUCCUCGGAGAGGAGGCCUGUUUCAGGGUCAGCCUAAAAAAAAUCGACAUCGUUGCUUUUUCGCGGUGACGUUCGUCGGAAAUGUUGGUAUCUUAAUCCUUUUGGUUUAAGCGACUUAAAAUUUUCCUUUUGAUUCCAUGUACGUUGCUGAGAUUUAUUUCCUUACACGUUUAAGGUAUCGUUUUUUAUUAGACGUUGUCGUCAUAUCGGAUCGCGUCC